AACAAGUCAGACAUAAUAAAUUCUAUGGAACCUUUCGAUUGGAAGCUUGUUUAUUUUUAGUUUCUUGAAGUAUGUACAAAACGUAUUGCCUGAAAGCCUUAGAUAUACUUUGGUCUCCCGUUAUUUGAUAUUUUAAGGGAUUGUCGCCAAUAGCAACGCUUUUCAUCAAGUCGCACUUUCUGCGCAGUGAAACAAAAAAAAAAAGGAAAAGGAAAAGGAAUAUGAGAAAGAAAAAUAGAAAUUCUAUUGAUGACCGACCAAGCAGGACCAUCGAAGCAGCUAAACAGCCAUUUUCCUGACCGAACCCGGACACCACCCGCUGUCCGAGUUCAACUUUUACAAAGUGUCCAACUUUGAGUUGGGAAAGUGGAAACGAAACCAACGAAACAAAUUUCACAAAAUGCUUAUUUGCGGUUAACCGCAAAACUGUAAACUAAUACCGACUGGAAGCAUGUUGUCGCAAGGGCUCGCAGAGAGGGUGCGUGGGAGAGUCGCUGGGCUCCUCCAUCCAUGCUGACAGCUGACUUAAAACGUCUCCAAGUUGACUUGGCUUUCAUUUGUGGUCGAGUGUCUGAUUAAUUCAAGUGUAAAUUAUAUAGUGUCCAGUUUUAAAUAUACGUAUGCACACAC